rnacentral:rRNA from 1 species
CCUACGGGUGGCAGCAGUGAGGAAUAUUGGUCAAUGGGAGAAAUCCUGAACCAGCCAUGCCGCGUGCGGGACGACGGCUCUACGAGUUGUAAACUGCUUUUGUAGCGAAGUAAAAUGCUCUACGUGUAGGGCUUUGAAAGUACGGUACGAAUAAGGAUCGGCUAACUCCUUGCCAGCAGCCGCGGUAAUACGGAGGAUCCGAGCGUUAUCCGGAUUCAUUGGGUGUAAAGGGAGCGUAGGUGGUGUUAUAAGUUAGUGGUGAAAUCCCGAGGCUCAACCUCAGGGCUGCAGUUGAUACUGUAGGACUAGAGUUCAGAUGCGGCAGGCGGAAUGUGUAGUGUAGCGGUGAAAUGCAUAGAUAUUACACAGAACACCGAUUGCGAAGGCAGCUUGCUAGGCUGGAUCUGACGCUGAUGCACGAAAGCGUGGGGAUCGAACAGGAUUAGAUACCCCAGUAGUC